GAUGAACGCUGGCGGCGUGCCUAAUACAUGCAAGUCGAGCGGAAAGGCGCUGCUCUUGUGGGGCGCUUGAGUGGCGAACGGGGGAGUAACACGCGAGUAACACGCCCUUGUCUGUGGGAUAACUCCUGGAAAAUGGGGCUAUAACCGGAGAUGAUAUCCUGCUGCAUAGUGGGGGUUGGAAAGUUACGGCGGUUGGGGAUGGACUCGCGGCUUCUCGGCUUGCUGGUGGGGUAGGUGCUUUCCAAGGCUUUGAAGGGUAGCCGGCCUGAGAGGGUGGACGGCCACAUUGGGCCUAAGGUAGGGCCCAGUCUCCAAUGGGCGGCAGCAGGGGGGAAUAUUGCGCAAUAGGCGGAAGCCAGAUGCAGCGACGCCGCGUGCGGGAAGACGGCCUUCGGGUUGUAAACAGCUUUCUCCGGUGCCGAAGAGAGAGUGACGGUAAUGGAUAAAGAAGCACCGGCUAACUACGUG
rnacentral:rRNA from 1 species